UCCCCGUUCCCCUCUCCCCGACCCCGCACUCCUUUCCCCAUUCCGGCUCCGUCACCUUCCCGCCCCUCACACUCGGGACGAGAAUGCCCUGCCCGGAACAACCCAGCAGCUCCUAGAUGGCUUUGGUCACGGUCCAGCGAUCGCCUACCCCCAGCACCACCUCCAGCCCCUGCGCCUCGGACUGAAGAAUCAAAAUGAGUGUGGCACCAAAGACUAAACAAAGAGGGAAUUUUCAAGAAGGAAGUUGGAUCAAGUUGUCUUGGAGAGGUCAACAGAGAGCUCUCAGUUGGAAGACAGUGAAUCAGCAGCAUUACUUUGCUGUGAAUGUGAAGAAUCAGAAAUCUUUAGUGAUUCCAAUGAGAUUGAAGAGCUCCUUUCCAAUUUGAAGACUUAAACUUGAAAAAGAAAUUAUUUGUAGAGCAAACAAAUUGAAAUCCCCAUUUUGAAUUUUAUUCAAAGGAAGUGGUAUGGCAUCUGGACACCUAUUUGAAAUAGAAGUUAACCUGAUGUAAAGGAGAGUAGAAGAUAAAGUCAAUCUCUGAAGAACUUUCUCUUUAAUCUUGGGAUAACAGAAAUAUGAAAUUUGGUUAGCUAUAUUCACU